UCGGGAAUUUUGGGCAAUGGGCGAAAGCCUGAUCCAGCCAUGCCGCGUGGAUGAUGAAGGCCUUAGGGUUGUAAAAUCCUUUCGCCGAGGACGAUAAUGACGGUACUCGGAGAAGAAGCUCCGGCUAACUUCGUGCCAGCAGCCGCGGUAAUACGAAGGGGGCUAGCGUUGUUCGGAUUUACUGGGCGUAAAGCGCGUGUAGGCGGGUCGUUAAGUUGGGGGUGAAAUCCCGAGGCUCAACCUCGGAACUGCCUUCAAAACUGGCGACCUGGACCUAAGUAGAGGCAAGUGGAAUUGCGAGUGUAGAGGUGAAAUUCGUAGAUAUUCGCAGGAACACCAGUGGCGAAGGCGACUUGCUGGACUUAUGGUGACGCUGAGACGCGAAAGCGUGGGGAGCAAACAGGAUUAGAUACCCCCGUAGUCCCUGAGCGGGCUGGCAAGGCGCAU
rnacentral:rRNA from 1 species